GACGAACGCUGGCGGCGUGCUUAACACAUGCAAGUCGAACGGAAAGGCCCUUCUUUUGUGGGGUGCUCGAGUGGCGAACGGGUGAUUAACACGUGAGUAACCUGCCCUUUACUUUGGGAUAACUUCAGGAAACUGGGGCUAAUACCGGAUAGGAGCUCCUGCUGCAUGGUGGGGGUUGGAAAGUUUCGGCGGUUGGGGAUGGACUCGCGGCUUAUCAGCUUGUUGGUGGGGUAGUGGCUUACCAAGGCUUUGACGGGUAGCCGGCCUGAGAGGGUGACCGGCCACAUUGGGACUGAGAUACGGCCCAGACUCCUACGGGAGGCAGCAGUGGGGAAUAUUGCACAAUGGGCGGAAGCCUGAUGCAGCAACGCCGCGUGCGGGAUGACGGCCUUCGGGUUGUAAACCGCUUUCGCCUGUGACGAAGCGUGAGUGACGGUAAUGGGUAAAGAAGCACCGGCUAACUACGUG
rnacentral:rRNA from 1 species